CAUCUCUUCUCAUGUGUCACUUUGCCAAGAAAGUGUCCCCUUACCUACUCAACUCAUCACGUCCCCCUACCGUAGCUCACAUAACACCACGUACCUCUCGCUUACAGCCUUAAUCACAUUUCACAUCCAGUUUCAGUCCACCUAUUUUGCACCUCCUUCUCUGGGAAGACUUCACUGAGAAUCCAAGCGAUUUCUGGAUCCCUUCUCUCCCCUGAAGCUGUAAACAGUUUAACAAGACACGUGCGGAACUGCCGUAAGACCUCUCGAUGGCAGGUGUUGCUCCAUGCCGUGGGUCAGUUUGAGGUCGUUCCCGCACACCUUACCGUGGAGCCCAACUGUGAGGCUGCAGGUCCCUGUCUUCUCGCAGAGUUCAGUGAAACGUAAGAGGUGAACCCAACCACACAAGCCCACGUAAGGCCUCUGCGACUCAUUUAAGGCCGUCGUGUCUUCCCUUGGCCUCCUGGGAACCCCCUGGCCCCAGGAUGCAGCUUCCGUAGCCCAGGACAACCGGCGGAGGGGGGCGGGCGGGGCUGCAGCAGGGUGGAACGCCGAGGUCACAGAGGGUGUGGGUGUGGCCACCUCUGCUGUGACUGAACCAAGGGCAGGGGGG